AAUAGAUACCCGGGUAGUCCACGCCGUAAACGAUGGGUACUAGAUGUUGCGGGAAUUGACCCCUGCAGUGUCGCAGCUAACGCAUUAAGUACCCCGCCUGGGGAAGUACGGCCGCAAGGUUAAAACUCAAAGGAAUUGACGGGGGCCCGCACAAGCGGUGGAGCAUGUGGUUUAAUUCGAUGCAACGCGAAGAACCUUACCUGGGUUUGACAUCCCUUGACCGCCCUAGAGAUAGGGCUUUGUAGCAAUACACAAGGAGACAGGUGCUGCAUGGCUGUCGUCAGCUCGUAUCGUGAGAUGUCGGGUUAAGUCCCUUAACGAGCGCAACCCUUAUGCUUAGUUGCCACCAUUUAGUUGGGCACUCUAAGCAGACUGCCGGUGUUAAACCGGAGGAAGGUGGGGAUGACGUCAAGUCCUCAUGGCCUUUAUAUCCAUGGCUACACACGUGCUACAAUGGCUGAUACAAAGGGUUGCCAACCCGCAAGGGGGAGCUAAUCUCAGAAAGUCAGUCUUAGUUCGGAUCGAAGUCUGCAAUUCGACUUCG
rnacentral:rRNA from 1 species